CCUACGGGACGCAGCAGUGGGGAAUAUUGCACAAUGGGGGAAACCCUGAUGCAGCAACGCCGCGUGAAGGAAGACGGUUUUCGGAUUGUAAACUUCUGUUCUUAGUGAAGAAUAAUGACGGUAGCUAAGGAGCAAGCCACGGCUAACUACGUGCCAGCAGCCGCGGUAAUACGUAGGUGGCAAGCGUUGUCCGGAAUUACUGGGUGUAAAGGGAGCGCAGGCGGGAAGCCAAGUCAGCUGUGAAAACUACGGGCUUAACCCCGGGCCUGCAUUGGAAACUGUUAAGCUGGAGUACAGGAGAGGUA
rnacentral:rRNA from 1 species